rnacentral:rRNA from 1 species
UGAGGAAUAUUGGUCAAUGGACGGAAGUCUGGACCAGCCAAGUAGCGUGCAGGAUGACGGCCCUAUGGGUUGUAAACUGCUUUUAUGCGGGGAUAAAGUUUGGGACGUGUCCCAUUUUGUAGGUACCGCAUGAAUAAGGACCGGCUAAUUCCGUGCCAGCAGCCGCGGUAAUACGGAAGGUCCGGGCGUUAUCCGGAUUUAUUGGGUUUAAAGGGAGCGUAGGCCGUCGUUUAAGCGUGUUGUGAAAUGCAGUCGCUCAACGUCUGCACUGCAGCGCGAACUGCCCAGCUUGAGUGCGCGCAACGUUGGCGGAAUUCGCCGUGUAGCGGUGAAAUGCUUAGAUAUGGCGAAGAACUCCGAUUGCGAAGGCAGCUGACGGGUGCGUAACUGACGCUCAUGCUCGAAAGUGCAGGUAUCGAACA